ensembl:snoRNA SNORD71 small nucleolar RNA, C/D box 71
UGUGCCUUAGUGAUCCGUCGGCAGAGUGCCCUGUCACAAUGCUGACACUCAAGCUGCUGACAACCACG